rnacentral:rRNA from 1 species
GAUGAACGCUGGCGGCGUGCCUAAUACAUGCAAGUAGAACGCUGAAGCUUGGUGCUUGCACCGAGCGGAUGAGUUGCGAACGGGUGAGUAACGCGUAGGUAACCUGCCUCUUAGCGGGGGAUAACUAUUGGAAACGAUAGCUAAUACCGCAUAAAAGUCGAUAUCGCAUGAAGUUGACUUGAAAGGUGCAAUUGCAUCACUAAGAGAUGGACCUGCGUUGUAUUAGCUAGUUGGUGAGGUAACGGCUCACCAAGGCGACGAUACAUAGCCGACCUGAGAGGGUGAUCGGCCACACUGGGACUGAGACACGGCCCAGACUCCUACGGGAGGCAGCAGUAGGGAAUCUUCGGCAAUGGGGGCAACCCUGACCGAGCAACGCCGCGUGAGUGAAGAAGGUUUUCGGAUCGUAAAGCUCUGUUGUAAGAGAAGAACGAGUGUGAGAGUGGAAAGUUCACACUGGACG